rnacentral:rRNA from 1 species
GAUGAACGCUAGCUACAGGCUUAACACAUGCAAGUCGAGGGGAAACGACAUCGCAAGCUUGCUUUUGAUGGGCGUCGACCGGCGCACGGGUGAGUAACGCGUAUCCAACCUGCCCAUCACUUGGGAAUAACCUUGCGAAAGUAAGACUAAUACCCAAUGAUAUCCCACGAAGGCAUCGGAAUGGGAUUAAAGAUUUAUCGGUGAUGGAUGGGGAUGCGUCUGAUUAGCUUGUUGGCGGGGUAACGGCCCACCAAGGCAACGAUCAGUAGGGGUUCUGAGAGGAAGGUCCCUCACAUUGGAACUGGGACACGGUCCAAACUCCUACGGGAGGCAGCAGUGAGGAAUAUUGGUCAAUGGGCGAGAGCCUGAACCAGCCAAGUAGCGUGCAGGAAGACGGCCCUAUGGGUUGUAAACUGCUUUUAUAAGGGAAUAAAGUGGGUCACGUGUGACUUUUUGCAUGUACCUUAUGAAUAAGGACCGGCUAAUUCCGU